AACGAACGCUGGCGGCAGGCUUAACACAUGCAAGUCGAACGGAUCCUUCGGGAUUAGUGGCAGACGGGUGAGUAACGCGUGGGAACGUACCCUUUGCUACGGAAUAACUCAGGGAAACUUGAGCUAAUACCGUAUGUGCCCUACGGGGGAAAGAUUUAUCGGCAAAGGAUCGGCCCGCGUUGGAUUAGCUAGUUGGUGGGGUAAUGGCCUACCAAGGCGACGAUCCAUAGCUGGUCUGAGAGGAUGAUCAGCCACACUGGGACUGAGACACGGCCCAGACUCCUACGGGAGGCAGCAGUGGGGAAUAUUGGACAACGGGCGCAAGCCUGAUCCAGCCAUGCCGCGUGAGUGAUGAAGGUCUUAGGAUUGUAAAGCUCUUUCACCGGUGAAGAUAAUGACGGUAGCCGGAGAAGAAGCCCCGGCUAACUUCGUG
rnacentral:rRNA from 1 species